rnacentral:rRNA from 1 species
AACGAACGCUGGCGGCAGGCCUAACACAUGCAAGUCGAGCGCCCUUUCGGGGGAGCGGCGGCCGGGUGAGUAACGCGUGGGAAUAUGCCCUUCUCUACGGAAUAGCCUCGGGAAACUGAGAGUAAUACCGUAUACGCCCUGUGGGGGAAAGAUUUAUCGGGGAAGGAUUAGCCCGCGUUGGAUUAGGUAGUUGGUGGGGUAAUGGCCUACCAAGCCGACGAUCCAUAGCUGGUUUGAGAGGAUGAUCAGCCACACUGGGACUGAGACACGGCCCAGACUCCUACGGGAGGCAGCAGUGGGGAAUCUUAGACAAUGGGGGCAACCCUGAUCUAGCCAUGCCGCGUGAGUGAUGAAGGCCUUAGGGUUGUAAAGCUCUUUCAGCUGGGAAGAUAAUGACGGUACCAGCAGAAGAAGCCCCGGCUAACUCCGU